rnacentral:rRNA from 1 species
GACGAACGCUGGCGGCGUGCUUAACACAUGCAAGUCGAACGGAAAGGCCCUGCUUUUGUGGGGUGCUCGAGUGGCGAACGGGUGAGUAACACGUGAGUAACCUGCCCUUGACUUUGGGAUAACUUCAGGAAACUGGGGCUAAUACCGGGUAGGAGCUCCUGCUGCAUGGUGGGGGUUGGAAAGUUUCGGCGGUUGGGGAUGGACUCGCGGCUUAUCAGCUUGUUGGUGGGGUAGUGGCUUACCAAGGCUUUGACGGGUAGCCGGCCUGAGAGGGUGACCGGCCACAUUGGGACUGAGAUACGGCCCAGACUCCUACGGGAGGCAGCAGUGGGGAAUAUUGCACAAUGGGCGGAAGCCUGAUGCAGCAACGCCGCGUGCGGGAUGACGGCCUUCGGGUUGUAAACCGCUUUCGCCUGUGACGAAGCGUGAGUGACGGUAAUGGGUAAAGAAACACCGGCUAACUACGU